UCAGGGGCCUGGGAGAUGAUUGCUGAAUAGUUCAAAUCAAUGCAUUUCAAUGUGUGGCCCCAGGACCGGCAGGUUUUGUUAGAACUGCAAAUUCUCAGGCCCUACCCCCGACCUACUGAAUGAGAAACUCUGGGGAUGGGGCCCAGCAAUGCCUGUGUUAACAAACCCUCCAGUGACUCUGAUGUGCACUCGAGCUUGAGACUAUGAAUUGUGUUCUUUUCUCUAGUGAUUGACUUUGGCAUCGUGUGAGGCAGCCCCAGCAAAUGGGACAAAGAAGGAAAUCCAGUGAGGGCCUUCGGGAAAGAUUUUUGUUCUCCAAAGACCCUUGCCCCUUUUUUGCCCCCUGCAAGCAGCUGUGUGUGAAGGUGCCAAGGGCUUCUGCAGCCACCCAUCACCCUGGGGGCGGCUACUCACCCUGAGGAAGGCAGAGUAGAAAGACAGAGAGCCUGGGCUCUUGAGCUUGUAAUGUUGCAGCUGAAUUAACCUACCCUGGAGUCACAUGUGCUCUCAAGCUCUCACAUGAAAUACCACACCCCUAGGGCUGGGCACAGUGGAUCAUGCCUGUAAUCCCAGCACUUUGGGAGGCUGAGGCAGGCGGAUCACAAGGUCAGGAGAUCAAAACCAUCCUGGCUAACACGGUGAAACCCCGUCUCUACUAAAAAUACAAAAAAUUAGUUGGGUAUGGUGGCAUGCACCUGUAGUCCCAGCUACUCAGGAGGAAACUCCAGAAGCAGACAGGGCCCUAGAUAUAACGGCAUCUAAGUCCUGUAUAAGAGUCUGCACCUAGAUUGAAUGGUUUUGCUAUACAAUUAUCCUCUCUCUUUCAGAUACCUGAAAUCUUUUCUCUUUAGCUUUUUCCCUCCUGAUUUUCAACAUUAAGAGGUUUGCUAUCAUAAAACAUGUUUCCUCCAUGCUGCUGAACCCUCUGACAUCACUGAUAUUUCAUUCUCUUUCUCUUCUUUCUUUCAAAGACUUCUUAAAUGACUACUUAAACACGUUUUGCUUCUAUUUCUUCAGCACUCUCUCUAAACUUCCUUCUGCCUGUUCCUGCUCUGUACAAGACACUCCGUGAAUUGCUCUUGGUCCAACACAAUGGUCUCUCCACUCCAUCUGCCUUGCUGAGCUUCUAUAACACCACAUGAUCCACAGAGGCCUCUGUUCCUUCUUGUAAGAAAAUUCUUUCUGGUGAUGUCAUUGACUCCAUUCUACUGUCUAAUUAUGAACUUUCCUAAAUCUAAGCUGUGACCUUCCUUCUUUCCUCUCUCUACGUCCUCUGGAAAACUCAUCUCUUUUUUUCAAGGAUUAAAUUACCACGUGCAUGUAAAUAGCUCCCACAUCGAUAUCUUCAGCCUUGACCUCUUCCCCAUUCCUGCUUCAGGCCCAUGCUUUCAUGUGCAUCCCAGAUACCCUCAUCUUUGGAUGGAUGCCACACUAGAAUUAUUGUCAUGCCAACCACUUGCCCCUCAAACCAGAUCCUCUUCCCAACUGUCUUCUUUAUCAGUAAACCAUAAGUCUUCAAGGUUCCAAAACCUUAGACUUUUGACUCCUU
rnacentral:lncRNA from 1 species